AGGUACCUACCUACCGUGUUUACACUUGUGUUUGUUGGAUGAUAGAUAAAUGCACCAUGAAAGUUCAACAUUUCACCAACCUCAAGAUCACAUUAUUGUGCUCAUUUUUUGUUAAUUUUCUGCAUUGUGUCGCUAAUAGCGAUCAAAACCAUAUAGAAAAUUCGCCCGAACCCAGAGCACCAUCCGGUACACCUAUGUCAUUCAUACCUUACUACGACUCGAAUCCUAGCAACUCCUACAUCCAACCUUUCCCAGAUCACGAUACGUUCGCCGAAAAAUCACCCUCAAAUGACCGAAAAUCAGACGAACUGCAUUACGAGCCUUGCUCCUUUGUGCCAUCCAGAACGUCCGGCCUGCAAAGAUGGAAAAAUUUCAGCCUAACGCGUGGCCUGCACGAAUGCGAAAACAUCUGCCAAAUUCUCUAUGGUGGAUUAAAAUUCGCCGUUUGUUUACCAGUGUGGAAUUGUCGUUGCCUCACCAAAGGAUUAUUUCAACUGAAAAAUUGGUGGCGAGAUGUCAAAGAGGAUCCUACCACAACACCAUUGGCGAUCGCUUACCAGGUUUCAAAGGCUUCGAUGCGGCGGCGGAGGAGGUAGUAAAAAUCACCUUUAGUGUGACCCGGUUUUGGGAUAGGCUAUAGGAGUAUUUUUUUUGAAAUCGUUUAAUCGCUUUAAUGCGAUUCUGAACGCGAAAUUACACACAUCGAAUAUGUAUGUACAUUUGAUACCUACUCUUUCUGCGUUUAAAAUGUAUGCUAUACUUUUAAUAUAUUCUUUUGAAAUGUA